GACGAACGCUGGCGGCGUGCUUAACACAUGCAAGUCGAACGGAAAGGCCCUGCUUUUGUGGGGUGCUCGAGUGGCGAACGGGUGAGUAACACGUGAGUAACCUGCCCUUGACUUUGGGAUAACUUCAGGAGACUGGGGCUAAUACCGGAUAGGAGCUCCUGCUGCAUGGUGGGGGUUGGAAAGUUUCGGCGGUUGGGGAUGGACUCGCGGCUUAUCAGCUUGUUGGUGGGGUAGUGGCUUACCAAGGCUUUGACGGGUAGCCGGCCUGAGAGGGUGACCGGCCACAUUGGGACUGAGAUACGGCCCAGACUCCUACGGGAGGCAGCAGUGGGGAAUAAUGCACAAUGGGCGGAAGCCUGAUGCAGCAACGCCGCGUGCGGGAUGACGGCCUUCGGGUUGUAAACCGCUUUCGCCUGUGACGAAGCGUGAGUGACGGUAAUGGGUAAAGAAGCACCGGCUAACUACGUG
rnacentral:rRNA from 1 species